rnacentral:lncRNA from 1 species
GGUGGGUAACUUCCGCCAGACUUUUCUGGAGAUGGCUAAUCCAGCCGUGGGAUGUGGUUUCUUCUAACAGCCAGUCAGGAAAAUCUUGCUUCUCAAACUCCUGUCUUGACCCCUUCCUGAACUUUGCCUCCUGGAUCUUGAGGUCUGCCUUCUGUGGAAGAGAAAUACUAGAAUCAAUGAACUGUGAACUAGAGCCCUGGGAUUAUCAACAGCCAGCUGAAAUUUUGAGAGCCACCUUAUAGAAAGCCUAACAGCAAAGACUGGAGAGAGGCUUCCAGCCAACAGCCAGCAAGGAAUUGAAGCCCUCAGUCCAAUAGCAGUGAGGAAUUGAAUCCUGCCAACAGCCUCGUGGAUGGGUUGCUUGCUGCCUGAAUCUAACUCCUGCUACUACUGCAAAUACCACUGCCAUGAAUAUCCUCAGCAAGACCCCCUUCCAGACCUGCAUGAACAGUUGUGUGAAAUGUAUAUGCACAAAGGGACUGCAAGGGAAGACCCAGAGACUAGGGAAGAACUUGGAACAAUAAUCUCAGUUUCUUCAAUUCCUAAACUUGAGAGUAUUGCUGUUUUUAAAUGAAAGUAUUUUUUCCCCCUAAGCAUUUUGUUCUAAAGUUGAGCUGCCUUUGAGGGGAAAUAAAGAGACUACCAGAUUAAUGGGUUUUUUUCAAAUGGGAUGGUGGGGUAAGGAAUAAUCGGGGUGGUCUGUGGAACAACUUGGAGGAUUGGUGUUAUGUCUCAAGAAGAUAUUCAAGUAUGUUCCUCCUUUUUUACCCAGACCGACUGCUUCAUGCUGGGCUUCAGACAUGAGAGGCUAGGAGUAGGAGGCAUGCCUUGUUCAAAGGUCUUAAAUGUGGGAAAUAGUCUACAGUUUGGAAGACACCAGAGAAAAAUGCUCCACAGCUCGCCCUGGUGACUCACUACAACUUAUGGGAAGAUGUGAGAUUAUUCUGUAUUCUAAUGUAUGUUAGAAGGCACACUCCACCCAAAGCCUUCCUGUGUGUUCCUCCCUGUGAGCUCACAUCCCGUUCACCAGCUGACUGGGAAGGGAAGUCAGGACCAGCCCUGACCCCAUCACACCAUCAUAACCUCGGGAUGGCAGGGCUGGAAGGCACCUCAGACGUCAUCCUUUGCAGACUCUUCAUUUUACAGUGAGAGGCAUGACGUGUCCACAGCUGGUUAGUGCCAAAGCCUGGGACAGGCUUCACAUUGUCCAGCUCUUAGUCAGAGCACUGUUGACAAUGUCUGCCUUCACUUGGAAUUCAGCACCUGCUUUCAGUAUAAACCCCUGCAUUUCACUAAAACUGAGCAGACUGCUGGUUUAAAAAAGAGAGGUCCAUCCAGCAGGGAUGAUGCUUUUCCUCGUUGAAAGAGGACAUUCACCUAAUGGGAGACCUGGAGUCAGAAUCUUUCUGAUGUGUGACUUGGCACAGUAACACAAUGCAGGAUGCUGGUGUGUUAAUAAAAAUAAAAAUUGCAUCGCCUACCUCAGAGUCGACAACAAUGUCAAGGAGUUAAUAGUCUUGGCAACACAGAGGCCACUGGACAGAGGCAUAACCUUGCGUGGCAGCUGCACGGGAAUUGGAUUUGGCUCAGGUGUUUCAGAUGACUAAGAACAAAGGGGACCACUCUUGGUAUAGAAGUUCAUCUCGUCGGGAGCAUCUGUGGUUCUUUUAUAAGCAAUGUACAUUCUACAAUAGAGGCAGACCCAGAAAUAAUUCAGAUAUUGGAGUUAGAAGAUCAGGAUUCUAAAAAAACCAAAAGAUCCUGCCUUACUAUGCACCUAUGGCCCUUCAAAGGCGAGAGUAGAAUCUGCUAUGAUUUAGAAGCAAGCAAUAAAAAGUACACAUCAGAAUUGGAGCCUGCACAGAUGUAGAAGGAGGCAUGAAGAGGGUAUUGGAGGAUUGCCCACUAUGCAGUCUGCAUCCUGAGUCUGUGGUGAGGCUGGACACGUUCAAGCUUACAGGAGAACUGGAGAAAGCAAGCAACACAGCGGUGGAAGUGAGACCACUGAAGGUAAGCUUGGGAGGGGGUCCCGACACCACCACAUCAGUGGAUCCACAGCUAAGUGAUUGGUGGUGGCCUGGGGUUCUGCUGUUUAGCAGGGACAAGAGUGGAGGAGACAAACUGGACUCGGAACAAACUGGGAGCCUCUGCAUCCAUCCGUAACUGUCUGGCCGUGACAGUGGUUAGAGAGGAGUGGCUUCUGUGAAACUCUCACAAUCUCAAAUCUCCCACAAGUGCCUCUUUCAGCUAACUCUAAACUGGUACCAUAGAGGAAAUGGAUUCUGAAAACUUGGUCUCCAACCUUAGACAAAUUGAAUAAUUAAUAUGUCCUCUCCUGCUUCUUCUGUAACUGAAUUUGCAUUGGGAAGCAGGCCUGUCACUCUCAGACUUUGUGGUUUGAGUAGGGCUCACUUCAGCACCACCUUUUCCUCUUCUCAGCCCCACGGACUGGCAUGAGACUCAGGCCUGGCCAACUGAAUGUCACACACCUAUGACCAUCAGUUGGCUCAGAGAUGGACUCAGGACACCAUCACAGCCAAUGAAACCCUGUUAGGGAAAUUUGUCAGAACCAUACAAAGAAAUAGCUCCACUUUUCCAUAGAGAUGAGACAUAAGCCUGGACUAACUGGUGUCCAAUUUGCCAUCAAGAGAGCAUCUGAGAAGACAGAGGAAAACUGGGGAAAGCGAAGUCUAAGGAAGGUGAGUAAGGACAAGUCCAGUUGAUAUUACAUGAAUCACCUGGACCUGGAAAUCAAGGCAUUGCUGGAUUCAAGGCCAAGAAAAAUUGGAAGCUGGCUUGAAUCAGGUUCUAUCACUUGCAGUUGAAAAGGUCCAGACUAAUAUGAUAACAAAGGAGCAAGUAAGCAAGAUUCUGCCCUACAGUAAGUGCUCAAUGCAUGUCAGCUGGUAUUAUUAUUAUACAGACUUCUAUUUCUAGCCCUUUUAUUUCUACCACCUCUCUUCUGUGUUUUAUGUAAAGUGCAUAAGGAUUGUUCUGUUUGGAAACAUCAAACCAUAUAAAAUGACACCAGCAGGUCCCUUUCUGUCUGUCAGUGUCCACAAGCUCAACAACCAGGAUCAGCAGACAAAAACAGCUAAGCUGGAGUCAGUGUUUUUAUGAAGAAACAGGAAAAGAACUUACUUGGGAACUGUAGCUCAUCCUCCAAUAUUCUCCAUCCUAUCACUCUUUUCAUGACAGUUUCUUCUUGGCCCUGAAGUUGCCUUGUCAUGGCUCCCUGCCUCUGUCCUUUCUCUGUCUCACUUACAUCUUCCAAUGAGGAAUACAGCAAGACCUUUGGAUGAGGACCUCCAAAGGUCCUCAGUAUCCUUAGGACACUCGGUGCAGAACUAGAGGGACUGAGAGGAGGAGCUUUUGCAGGUUAAAUGACUAGUGAAUGGCCUUUCCUUAUAUUUCCAUUAGAAAUGGGAUUAGCUACACCUGAGAAGGAAUGACUUUGGAACAACUGAUCCCUAGCUUUCCAAAAUAUGAGAAAUUGAGAUGCAGGGAGUAGUAAGCACCUAGUUAAUGAGUCAAAGCAUAUUUAUAAAGUUCACAGGGUACAUAGCAUAUAGCAGCUGUUCUCUAUCUCAGUUGAGUUUUGACUAGGAAAUGGGCUUAGGAUAAAACACAUAGGCUUUUGAGUAAUCAUUUGUAAGAAAUUGUAGAUAGUGACCACAGUUUAAUAGCAUUAGAUAAAUUAUGAAAAGUCACUGAAAUACCUUCUCUGGAAAAUGUUAGAAGCUCAAGUACAAUGGCUUAGUUAAAGGCAGGUGGGGGAGAAACUUGAAGAAUGUGGUCCAGUACAAGAAUACCCCAUUUUUCCCCUAAGGCAAUGAAAAUGACAUGAAGUAAUCAUAGUUAUUUAUACAGGAACAAUUUAGGAGACUUAGAAUAUUCACUUCUUUUGCCUUCUAGCUGAGCAUCAAAAUUCUCUCUCUGUCUCUGCCUCUCUCUCUCUAUUUUCCACUUCUAGCUCCAACUAUUUUAAAUCCCUCCCCCAAUAGAACUCAUAACAAACAUAAAACAACAUUUGUUGUAUGUUUACAAUAGAUGUUCAAGCUAAUAUUUAUGUAGGCUUAGCCCUGGCAUUAAAUUAAGGUUUGGUUCACCAACAGGGUGCCUAGAGACUUCACCUCUAUUUCCAUGAGGGACUGAACAGCCUCUUGAGAAGGGACUCAUCAAAAUGGAAGAGUUGGCAAUAAGAAGUUUGGCUAAAUAACCAAGCACUGAAGUUGCAGAGGAGAAAGGAUUUGAAAGGCAGUACAGUGUCCAGGGGCAAGUUGGCAAUUUUUAGCAGGAGGUGAAGUGAUGCCAGCAGAGGUAACAGUGCUCAGAGGGACCAGUAGUCCCCAGGAGGAGCAGGGGAAUCCCCAGUGGAUCUGAUUUGUUCAAGAGCACAUGUGAGAUUAUCAGCUGGCGUUACAAUUUUGGAGUGGCAGUGAGAAGCAGUGAAUUUGAGGUCACUCAAUUUGCAGACCCCAAAGGGUGAAAUGUUGAGAAACAUGAGUUACACAUGUAUUUAACAGCUCUUGUGUAUUAUCACAAAUCCUAUUUCACCUCUCAUGCCCCCGAGGCUUUGGUGUCCAGUUCUCUGAAGACUUCAUCAAUCCUCAGCCAUAAAUCACCUGAGAGCAACUCACCUUGCUUCAUACUAUGAAGCUCCCUGAUGUCACAGCAUGGCAGGCCUGUGGCAACCCCUCAACACUUAUGCAUGAUCCCAAACAGCUAGAGGAUUAACACCUACGGUGUAACCCUUGACCAGCAGGAAAUGGAAAUUACUGUCUUUUUGUCCCCGCAGGUGAAUGGUUCUAAAAUGCAUUUUAUAAGCCUUCUGAAAUAGUCCCACAGGUCAAGCACCUACUUGCUCCAGUGGUGACCAACUCAAUGAUGCAUCCUUGGGUUGACUCUCCCUCCUUUCCAGUUCACUUUCCCCGCCCCUCACUCCUGCACCUCAGCAUCACAUUCCUGAAUAAACCACUCACACAUCUGUCUUAUUUCAGACUCUGUUUGGGGGAAUCCACAAUAAAAAUUUGUCAUUUUGAGUUAAACAUUGCUCUCACCUUGAAGACAUAUUUCCAUACCUAGAGAUUUCUGAAGUUCUCUCCCUUUUCCUAUCAUCUCCUUUGUGCUUUGUCUGACCUCCAUGUUACAGAGCCCCAUGAUAUUUAGAGCCAGUACUGCUAGGGAAGUAGUUCAGUUGUGUUUUAAAUGGUUCAGCAACUUGUAACAUCAACUGAGAACCAGAGGAAUACACUUGGAGGCCAAGAAAAAAAUGUUAGCUAAUAUGUACCAUACAGUAUGAUUCCUUGGGUAAGGGAAAGUAUAUGCAAGUGACAGAGGAAAAUUGAAAGUUGUAGCCCUUUUUUGGACUUUAGAUUUGGAAUUAAAGUUUCUCUUCUCUUGAAAGACCUUCUUUUUGUGGAUAAUGAUGAAUCUGAAGACCAGAACAGUGGGCCAAUUUGCCUUAGUUGAGAGUGGCAAAUAAAUGAAGAACUGAAGAACGUAUCUCUUUAACUAGUGCUCCUUUGUUGAGAAGAUACAAAACAAACAAUUGAAGGGUAUGGAUGAAGCCAUUGGCUUAUUCAUGUCUCUGUUGAUCAUAAUGAGAUUAAUAUAUAUAGGACAUUCACACAAAGAGGAUAUUGACUCGAUGGCUUACAGAUUAUUAGAGUUAGAAAUGUGACCUACUACUAAAGGAAGAAUGUUUCAGGUGUGGAUCUCUGAUUUAAAAAAUACACCACACUUGCCUCAGUGAAGCAAGUCAACUUAGGUGCUGAUACAAUGCCACUGCAGCUGUGCUGAGUUCAUGAAAUCAGAUCCCACUCUCUUCACCUACCCCUACCGUAUUCAUCCUACUUUCCGUCUGCUCUGCCCUUCCCAUUUGGUAACCUAGUCAUGAAACACCUGGCUCUGGGUCCUUCCUUCAGCAUCACUCCACGUUGUACUGCUGGCAUCGCUUUUCUUGGCACAGAACCUCUUAGGGCUGCUAUCCUAGGAGUAGGUGCUACUCAGGCUGGCUUAGUCCCAGGCUUCACUCACUUCUUGGCCCAUGGCCAGGAGGACCGGAAAGAACAAACUCUCUGCACAUCUCUGCAGGUGGCCACAGAGCCCCCAUCUGAGCCUUGCUGAUGGAGAAGAGCAUGCUGCAUCACAAGAUAACUGUGUGGCUCUGUUCAAAAACCUUGUUUAGAAGUUAUUAUUUCUUUUAUUGCAUUAGAAUUUGCCUCACUGUAGCUUUUGUGCUUCUGUCCUGGUUCAGCCUUAGAUAGCAGUGCAGCCUGGUCCAUGUGAAAGCUCUUGCAAUAGGCCUUUCUGCUAGUCAGGAGUUCUCAGACCCAUCCCUACUCUUCACUUUUCUCAAGACUAAUAUCAGACUCCUGGGCUCUUCAAGGUUUCCUCAUAUGAUAAAAGUUCUAAGCCCUCCAUUGUCCUAGUCACUGUCCUCUCUGUUCCAUCCCUGUCUGCCCUUCCAAGAUGCUGCACCUGGAGAUGAAUUUGUCCUUCCUGGGGCAAGUCACCAUGAGAUGAUUACUUUUGGAUCAUACUGAAUUUGUGGGUUAAAUAAACUCAUAGGUCUUUAUCUCAUGCACUAAAUCCAAAUUCGAUCUCUUGCCGUAAAUCAUUUUUUUGAAUAGCUGAACAAUAAGUAAAUAAUACACAAAUGAAAACUAAUCAAUAUUUGAACAUCCUCAGUAUUUUCAGCCCUAGUUUGAGCCAGACAUAGCUCAUCUUGUAUACUUCACUAAGGACACUUUAUACGAUCAAGCAAUUAAUAUUAUGAUGUCAUGUCUCGCAAGCCCCAUAGUGUCACUUCCAGUCUCUUCACCACAAAGAACGUUGAAGCCUUCGUAUUUUUUUGAAAAUCAUAUUUCUAGCUGCAGGAUGGGAUGUAAGAAAAGUUCAGAUUAGGAUUAUUCUAGGCUCCUGACUAUAACUAAAAUCCUGAUUUUUUAUGGAAAGGAAUGAGGAUCAUUCCUUCAAAUUAGAUUUUUGUGAUAAAAAGAAAAAAGUUGGUAAUCUAUUCAAAAUUGUAACAAAAAUAACUGCAUUUUUCUUUGGAAAAUAAUAGUUGAUUCCUUUUUGCUUUUUUUACUUAUGAAUUGGGGUGCAAUAGAGUUUAAUAAAAAUGAUGUGAAACACUCUUAUAAGGCUAAUUUAUCACAUUUGCUUCAAGGAAUUGUCCUUUCUAACAAAAUUGUGAAAUGGAACUGAACAGUAGCAUGAUGAGGCCUCUACCAGGAGGAGGUACAGAACAAGGCAGGAGGUCAGUGGUUAAAGGACUCCUUGCUUAUGCUCAAGAAAUGUGGACCUUAUUAGAGGUGACACAGUGAAAUCAGUCACCUGAUUUCGCAGGUGACUGUGGAGCAAGAAUGCAAAUCCACAAUAUUAGGAUGAAUGUGAGAGGAGAAGGGAAGGAGGCCAUGAGGGAAAAAAGGACAUCUAAUUGGGUCUGAAAGGAAGGGUAGAAUUUAAGUAAAGAGCACUGUGUACAUAUGGGAAUACCAUGUACUUUCUCAUGGAGAGAGGCCUUCUGACAGUCCUGCAUUGAUCCUGCUUCUUUGACCAUCCCUUGUUAGCCAGCAGGUCAUUUGGCCUCACUAGUUGCCUCAGUGCUGAGUGAUAGACUCAGCAGUCCCCAGCCUCUUUGGCACCAGGGACUGGUUUUGUGGAAGAUAAUUUUUCCAUGGAUCAGGGAGAGGAUGGUUUCAGGAGGAUUUAAGU